rnacentral:lncRNA from 1 species
AAACACAAGCAUCAGAUCCCUUUAGGUCCCAGGUUCACACCAAAGAAUCGCAUCUGUUUCUGAGAGAUGUUCAACACAUAUCUCUGAGCUGACCUCAACCCGGAAACGCGAUGCACACAUUUCCGUUCAUCUUUUGCUUUGAUUGAUUACUGAAGCCAAACGGCCACUUUGACCAAAGUUUGAGGAGCAGCUGUUCGGCCGACGUGACGCUGUGAGCGGCUACAGCCUCCACGUUUAUCCAAUUCCCGCCUCUAACGGCUUCAAACCGACGUGAGACAACAAAAAAACUUCACCUGGUAAGAAACCCGAGUCCGUGUUGUCUAGUUUUUCCUCCAUGACUGCAGAAAUCGACAGACUAACUUUUGGUGCGUUCAAGUGCUCUCGCUGAGCUCUGAAUUUACAGCUCUAAAAACUUCCAAUGUUUCUUAAAGAUUUAUUCGUUAUGAUUUAAACGGCGAAAAAAUGUAAAUGAAAAAGUAUUUAAUUAGUUAUUUAUUUGUUAAAAACAAUAUUUGCUGAAGAAGAACAUAGCCGUGAGAAGGAAAGCCUACAUUUAUAUUUGAUAAAACGAUCAAAUUAAUUGGAGAAAUUCAGCAUCCAUAUUACCAAGACAUACAAUAAAAAAUAGAAAAGCAAGUUUUCUAAGUAUUAAUAAAAGAUACAGAGUACUUCUGUGGGUUUAAUCACUUUUCUCGUCAGUUUCGCUAUUUACCACAGUUUUAAUGGGAUCGAAAGACAUUAAAAGUGACGUCACUUCCACGUGUUGUCGGAAGAGGGCAGAAGUUUAUUUCUGAUUGACAACAACUAACGUGAAAGUGAAAAUUUUUUUAUUGAUUUGUGUCUGCAAAUGAACUGCUUACAUUCACCUGGACUAAAAUGCAACAUCCCGGAAGUUUAACCGACGGAUGAGCAGCUGCACGCGCGGAGGAAGGAAAACGUUCACCAGAAGAUCCAGCAGUGAUUCACAAUCUGACCGCCAUCGUUUGGAGUAAGAGCGUUCACUGAAGGAAACCAAACAAAGUGAAGGCAAGAGAAGAGGA